rnacentral:rRNA from 1 species
GAUGAACGCUAGCGGAAGGCAUAAUACAUGCAAGUCGAACGGAUGUAGCAAUACAUUAGUGGCGCACGGGUGCGUAACGCGUAUGCAACCUACCUUCAUCAGGGGGAUAACUACCCGAAAGGGUGGCUAACACCGCAUAAUACUAUUGAGUGGCAUCACUUGAUAUUUAAAUCGGAGGAGGAUGAAGAUGGGCAUGCGUCUGAUUAGCUAGUUGGUGUGGUAACGGCGCACCAAGGCGACGAUCAGUAGGGGAACUGAGAGGUUGGUCCCCCACACUGGCACUGAGAUACGGGCCAGACUCCUACGGGAGGCAGCAGUAGGGAAUAUUGGUCAAUGGUGGGAACACUGAACCAGCCAUUCCGCGUGCAGGAAGAAGGGUCUCUGACUUGUAAACUGCUUUAGCAAGGGAAGAAAAAGCUCAUGCGUGAGAAAUUGACGGUACCUUGAGAAUAAGCACCGGCUAACUACGUGCCAGCAGCCGCCGUAA